rnacentral:lncRNA from 1 species
UUGUUAGCGUCGCUGUCCACUGAUGCUUGGCUGCUUCCUCCAGGCUAAGGCUUAAGAUGUUACCAUCAGGUUAAUUUGGCUUCCCCAGGAAGCGUGGCUUGGCCGGCUUGGCUAAGUAGCAAAGUCUCUGGAAAGCGAUUAGCUGACCAUUAGUACCGCACUAAUAUGGUGGUCCUAUAUAUCGGCCAUGUCAUCAUCAUCACUCUUG